AUGGAUUCCAUCUUGGCGAAUGAAACUUGGGAGAUAACUGAUCGUCCUUAUGGGUGCAAACCUAUAGGAUGCAAAUGGGUAUUCAAGAAGAAGCUUAGGCCUGAUGGUACUAUCGAAAAGUACAAGGCUCGGCUCGUGGCUAAGGGUUAUACCCAAAAGGAAGGUGAAGACUUCUUUGAUACUUACUCACCUGUGGCUCGACUGACCACUAUUCGAGUUCUACUUUCACUAGCUGCCUCACAUGGUCUUCUCAUUCAUCAAAUGGAUGUUAAGACUGGUUUCCUAAAUGGAGAGUUGGAUGAGGAAAUUUAUAUGGAACAACCAGAUGGGUUUGUAAUAGAUGGUCAGGAAGGGAAAGUGUGUAAGUUGCUGAAGUCUUUGUAUGGACUCAAGCAAGCACCCAAACAGUGGCAUGAGAAGUUCGAAAGAACUUUAAUAGCUGCAGGCUUUGUUGUGAACGAAGCUGACAAAUGUGCGUACUAUCGCCAUGGUGGGGGCGAGGGAGUUAUGCUUUUCUUGUAUGUUGAUGACAUACUGAUUUUCGGAACAAAUCUGAAUGUUAUUAAGGAGGUCAAGGAUUUCCUAUCUCGUUGUUUUGGGAUGAAGGAUUUAGGAGUUGCUGAUGUCAUUCUGAACAUCAAGUUGUUGAGAGACGAUGAUGGUGGGAUUACACUACUUCAAUCUCACUAUGUGGAAAAGAUCUUGAGUCGCUUUGGCUAUAGUGACUGCAAGCCCUCUCCAACAACAUAUGAUGCUAGCGUGCUGCUCCGAAAGAAUCGAACAAUUGCUAAAGACCAAUUGAAAUAUUCUCAGAUUAUUGGCUCGCUUAUGUACUUAGCCAGUGCUACAAGACCUGACAUCUCUUUUGCUGUUAGCAAACUGAGCCGGUUUGUCUUAAAACCAGGAGAUGUGCAUUGGAAAGCUCUAGAGAGAGUUUUGCGUUAUUUGAAAGGCACUGCGAAUUAUGGAAUUCACUACACUGGGCACCCAAAGGUGCUUGAAGGGUAUAGUGACUCAAACUGGAUCUCAGAUGCUGAUGAGAUAAAGGCCACGAGCGGAUAUGUGUUCACUCAUGGAGGAGGCGCUGUUUCUUCGAAGUCUUGCAAGCAGACCAUCUUAACGAGGUCAACAAUGGAAGCAGAACUCACAACACUAGAUACAGCUACGGUCGAAGCAGAUUGGCUUCGCCGGCUCUUGAAUGACUUGCCGGUAGUUGAGAAACCUGUACCGGGUAUCCUUAUGAACUGUGACAAUCAAACUGUGAUCACGAAAGUGAGCAGCUCAAAGGAUAACAUGAAGUCAUCAAGACACGUUCAGAGAAGAUCCCGUGAAUUAGAUGUGGAAGACAAGCUGUUGGUC
rnacentral:rRNA from 1 species